AGGACGAACGCUGGCGGCGUGCCUAACACAUGCAAGUCGAACGAGGUCCAAGUCGUGGCAACACGACGGAAGACCUAGUGGCGAACGGGUGAGUAACACGUGAGGAACCUACCCCGGAGACCGGGAUAACUCUCCGAAAAGGAGAGCUAAUACCGGAUGUCCCCAUCGGGUCGCAUGACCUGAUGAGGAAAUGGAUUCCGCUUCGGGAGGGCUCGCGGCCUAUCAGCUAGUUGGUGAGGUAAUAGCUCACCAAGGCAUCGACGGGUAGCU
rnacentral:rRNA from 1 species